GGGUCAGUAGGUUGGUCGUGCCACCGGUACGUACUGGUCUCACUGACUCCUCCUUCCCGAAGAACCGUAAUGCCAUUAAUUUGGUGUUGCGGGGAAACAGGACUGUUACUUUGAAAAAAUUAGAGUGUUUAAAGCAAGCUAACGCUUGAAUACAUUAGCAUGGAAUAAUGAAAUAGGACGUUCGAUCCUAUUUUGUUGGUUUCUAGGAUUGACGUA
rnacentral:rRNA from 1 species